AGAGUUUGAUCAUGGCUCAGGAUGAACGCUAGCGACAGGCCUAACACAUGCAAGUCGAGGGGCAGCGGAGAGGUAGCAAUACCUUUGCCGGCGACCGGCGCACGGGUGAGUAACACGUAUGCAAUCCWCCUGUAACAGGGGGAUAACCCGGAGAAAUCCGGACUAAUACCCCAUAAUAUGGGCGUUCCGCAUGGAGAGCUCAUUAAAGAGAGCAAUUUUGGUUACAGACGAGCAUGCGCUCCAUUAGCCAGUUGGCGGGGUAACGGCCCACCAAAGCGACGAUGGAUAGGGGUUCUGAGAGGAAGGUCCCCCACAUUGGAACUGAGACACGGUCCAAACUCCUACGGGAGGCAGCAGUGAGGAAUAUUGGUCAAUGGUCGGCAGACUGAACCAGCCAAGUCGCGUGAGGGAAGACGGCCCUACGGGUUGUAAACCUCUUUUGUCGGAGAGUAAAGUACGCUACGCGCAGUGUAUUGCAAGUAUCCGAAGAAAAAGCAUCGGCUAACUCCGUGCCAGCAGCCGCGGUAAUACGGAGGAUGCAAGCGUUAUCCGGAUUUAUUGGGUUUAAAGGGUGCGUAGGCGGCACGCCAAGUCAGCGGUGAAAUUUCCGGGCUCAACCCGGACUGUGCCGUUGAAACUGGCGAGCUAGAGUACACAAGAGGCAGGCGGAAUGCGUGGUGUAGCGGUGAAAUGCAUAGAUAUCACGCAGAACCCCGAUUGCGAAGGCAGCCUGCUAGGGUGAAACAGACGCUGAGGCACGAAAGCGUGGGUAUCGAACAGGAUUAGAUACCCUGGUAGUCCACGCAGUAAACGAUGAAUACUAACUGUUUGCGAUACAAUGUAAGCGGUACAGCGAAAGCGUUAAGUAUCCACCUGGA
rnacentral:rRNA from 1 species